rnacentral:lncRNA from 1 species
UUUCCAUUAUAGCAACAUUGCAACCGAUUCUUCUCCGAUCUUCUACCAGUCUAGUCGUCGACCUCUCUCGACGAUCGUUGUCUCCGUCUUCUGCUCCGCUUUGUUCUGGUUCAGUACUCUUUUACUUCCUUUCUUUUGAAUAGUUUGAUGUGUAUUUUCUUGUACUCUGUCUCAACUCUUGGCACUUCUAAGUACGUGUUCUUGGUUUCUGUCUUGAUUCAUUACAUUUUUCUUAUCUUCUUCUUCUUCUCUGUCUCAACUCCCAUUAUUUUCAUUCAAUUAAUAGUUGUGAAUUCCUAGUUGUGCAAUUCAAUUUAAAUCAAUC